rnacentral:rRNA from 1 species
UGGGGAAUUUUGGACAAUGGGCGCAAGCCUGAUCCAGCCAUGCCGCGUGCGGGAAGAAGGCCUUCGGGUUGUAAACCGCUUUUGUCAGGGAAGAAAAGGUUCUGGCUAAUACCUGGGACUCCUGACGGUACCUGAAGAAUAAGCACCGGCUAACUACGUGCCAGCAGCCGCGGUAAUACGUAGGGUGCAAGCGUUAAUCGGAAUUACUGGGCGUAAAGCGUGCGCAGGCGGUUAUGCAAGACAGAGGUGAAAUCCCCGGGCUCAACCUGGGAACUGCAUUUGUGACUGCAUGUCUAGAGUACGGUAGAGGGGGAUGGAAUUCCGCGUGUAGCAGUGAAAUGCGUAGAUAUGCGGAGGAACACCGAUGGCGAAGGCAAUCCCCUGGACCUGUACUGACGCUCAUGCACGAAAGCGUGGGGAGCAAACAGG